CUUGCUUUGUCUGAGCCUCCCCUAAGCAGAAACGGUUGGCGUUUUAUGGGAAGAUCACAUGUCAGCAAAGCACAGAUCAGCGCAUGAAUUUCAACAGGGCCAAGACCAGAUAGUGGGGAGAAUGAAGACAGAGGAAUUAAAUCAGGAAUCCAGAAUCCAGUAAACUUAAGCUUGCCUGUUUUAUUUAACAUAAGUGAUAGACAGGUCUCUGAUGGCCAUCUUAUCACCUCCUCUAUCAAACAUCUUAUCAUGGACCUGCACCCAACAGCCUGAAUCCAGCUGAUCAUCAUCAGUAGCCUCCACUGAAUCAAUGGAAUUCAUGUAAGUGUUGACUUCUCAUUCAACAACUGAUUCAAUGGACCUACUCUGUUGGAGACUAGUCAUGGAAUCCAGGCUACUGCGUGGCUUUAAAAGUCAUUCUUAUCAGAUAGGACAAUUAUGAAAAUCAAUAAAAUUCAAAAUUCCAAGC
rnacentral:lncRNA from 11 species